CCUACGGGAGGCAGCAGUGGGGAAUAUUGCACAAUGUGGGAAACCCUGAUGCAGCAACGCCGCGUGAAGGAAGACGGUUUUAGGAUUGUAAACUUCUGUUUUUAGUGAAGCAUAAUGACGGUCGCUACGGAGCACGCCACGGCUAACUACGUGCCAGCAGCCGCUGUAAUACGUAGGUGGCAGGCGUUGUCCGGAAUUACUGGGUGUAAAGGGAGCGCAGGCGGGAAGCCAAGUCAGCUGUGAAAACUACGGGCUUAACUUGUAGACUGCAGUUGAAACUGGUUUUCUUGAGUGAAGUAGAGGUUGGCGGAAGUCCGGGUGAAGCGGUGAAAUGCGUAGAUAUUCGGAGGAACACCGGUGGCGAAGGCGGCCAACUGGGAUUUAACUGACGCGGAGGCUCGAAAGUGUGGGGAGCAAACAGGAUUAGAUACCCCUGUAGUC
rnacentral:rRNA from 1 species